UUUAGUGAUCAAGACCUCCUAGCCUGUUGUUUGUGAUACGUGCCCUUGAGAGACUAAUGAAGUUUGUGCUUUUCCUGUAGGUGCUUCCUUUUGACUUACUCAUCCGACUUGGUACAUGGACUACAAAGUGACACAUGGUGUGCUAGGCUUCACUGCAGUGUUGUGCCUACAAACCUCAACAAAAAUCAAAACUUCAUUUUACUACCUGCUGCAUGAAACUAUUGGGGAGAGUCUCUGACCUGAAGCCCCCAGUAUAAUUGGACAAGGCAGAAGAGAAACAACAGGAUCUGUACAAGUUCAGAAGGACCGAACUGAAAGAGGACAAGAGCCUUCGGUAUUACACGCACACCUAGUCUUGGGAAAAUCUGUCUCCUUGACCUUUGUGAUGGCUUCAUGGUAAGGCUUUUCAAGCAGCCCUAGUAUCUAUUCACACUCUAGCCACUUCUACGUAUAGCAGGCCUAAAAUAAAAUAAUAAUUAAGAAUUUAAAA